rnacentral:lncRNA from 1 species
GACUAAGAUCAGUUGAUCCUUUUAACUAAAAAAUAAAAUGCCCCAAGUUAAGGCUGAGGGAGCAUUUUAUCAGAAUGCCUUGUCUUCCUGAAGUUCCUUUGCGUUAGGUCAAAGGUCCAAGCUCCAAGUGCCAGUAGCAAAGAGCUCCGAGUGGAGUACUGAAGAAGCAAAAGGAACCAAGCUGAUGCAGGCUUUCCUUGAGUUUAUAUGCCUGGUGAUCAGUAUCUUUAAGGACAUUUUAUAUGUUGCGUUCUGAUGUACAUAGUUUUGUCAAACACAUCAUGCUUGUGAGUAUUUAUCCCUCAUUUUAUGCAAUUAACCAAAUCAACCAAAAAAAAAAAAAGUGACCAUGAGAUCCUGUAUUUGUCUUUUUACUACAGGUAUGAACUCUCCUGUGAAUGAGUACUGUAGUAACCCAUUUCAAGGGAGCCUUAUUUCAGAAAUAUUUCAAACUGGUGCAAAUGGAAAAGACUUUCUCUUUUCCUUUAAGGCUAAAGACAAGAAUGUCAUGCUCUACAGGUGCAACUCAAUCUCUGUUAAUAAAAACCAGUGUAGAUAUAAACAUUUUACCUUUGAAGUAGCUGUGCCCCAAACUGUUGCCAUUGAAUUUUUUGGAAAUGGCUUUAGAAAUUUCCCAGUCCUUGAAUUGUCUAACCACGGACAUCAGCAGUUGUCUCCCUUCCACUGUGUAGAAUACUUUGACUUAAUUUUCUUCCAGAUAUAGGGGGAUACCUGCCUGUUUUUCAAAGUGUUUAUUUACUGCUGUUACUAUUUGAUUAGAAUGUAUUAAAUAAAGAAAAGACAGGAUUUCU